rnacentral:lncRNA from 1 species
CUUCGGGGUAGUUUUGUUUUACAUACAGCUUCUAGGGAAUUUUAAGUAAUUGCUUCCCUUUUUUCAAGAUAAAGUGCCCUCUAAGAGGCAAAGAAACUGUUUCCCUAAGCCCUGUGAGGGACUGUGAAUGACCCAGCAGACGGUUUGGAGAACCUGAAUGUGGACACUCGCAGAGGAGAGUGAACCCUACGUGUGUGGCCUCUACAACCUCUCUCCUGUGGAAGUUCAGAGACAACCCAUUGAGCUGAGCAAUGAGGGAAGUCUUCCUGGAGGCGAGAACGUUUGAACUAAACUUUGAAGGAUGCUGCAGUUCAGAUGAAAGGCAAGAGUGGGACCAGCAGGCCUGGCCAGGGCCCAAAGUGGUGGUCCUGGACAAGUGUAGAAGGACUGCAAUUAGGAUGAAGCCAGGCGCCCUUUCAAAGGUGGCUGGAGAGAGAGCUAACUGCCUGCAUUAUUUAAGAAAAACGUUAACAGUGCUCAAAGCAUCAGAGGUUACACAUCAGUACGAAGAAUGAGAAAGUUUAUUAUCUGAAGCCAUGGUAGGAAGCACUCACAAAUGUUGCCUGCUGUAAAGUUAAGUCUGGCCCUUAGCCUGGGUGUUUAUAUGUAUGCAACUGUAUAUCGAGAUCCAUUUCUGCAGGAGAUCAAGACGUUUAAAGACUGCUAUAAUAAUAGAAUUCCUGUGUUGAUUUUGGGGACUGAAAUUGAGCCAGAAGGAAAUGUCUGGUGAAGAGCAGAGCUAUCUUUGAAGCCAUCUCUGGAAACGAAAGCAGACUAUUUGACUGGAUUCGGGAAAUGGUGUUAAUUACUAAAACACCUGUGACCACAGCUGAACCUCUUAAUCACAUCCGCAUCCACGUGGACCCCUGCUCAGCUAAUAUCAUGAGGCUCAAGCCGGUGUCUCUUUAGAGUGAAGAGAUCUUUCUGAAGCCUAACUUGGAAGUCAUAUAAGAGGAUGUUUUAGGUCUCAAUUCGAUAGGAAAAGUGACAAUCAGAAUUCAAGAUGCUCUUAUGGAGCUUCUUGAAGAGGUGACCAUGACCACCACCUCCACUAUCGCCAUUCUCCUGGCCCUACUUCUGAUUCAAAAACCAGUUCUGAUUUUUCAGCAACGCCCGUUGCACCAAAUGCUUCCCGUCUGUGUUCUUAAUUUAACAAAUAAUUUCAGAUCUCUGAUCACUCUGACUCUGACGGUGGUUUUUUUGGAGCCUAGCUCCAUCUGAAUGGCCACAUUGCUGGGAGAUGCUGACUCACUC